GAAUGGAGUUCUCAAAGUGUGCAAAGGCUCUAUGAUACUCAUGAAGAGUAGUUUGAUUUCAGGAUUGUAUUUUCUUCAGGGCAGUAUAAUUUCAGGGGAAGCUGCAAUAGCAUCCGGAAGCAAUAAUCAGAAUCAGACUCAAUUGUGGCAUAUGUGUCCUGGUCAUAUGAGUGAAAGAGAAUUAUUUGUGUUAAGCAAGCGGGAUUUGUUGGAC
rnacentral:misc_RNA from 1 species